GACGUAGGGCGCGAGCGUUGUCCGGAUUUAUUGGGCGUAAAGAGCUCGUAGGCGGUUUGUCGCGUCGGCUGUGAAAACCUGGGGCUCAACCCCGGGCCUGCAGCCGAUACGGGCAUACUAGAAUUCGGUAGGGGAGACUGGAAUUCCUGGUGUAGCGGUGAAAUGCGCAGAUAUCAGGAGGAACACCGGUGGCGAAGGCGGGUCUCUGGGCCGAUAUUGACGCUGAGGAGCGAAAGCGUGGGGAGCAAACAGG
rnacentral:rRNA from 1 species